GAUGAACGCUGGCGGCGUGCCUAAUACAUGCAAGUCGAGCGAACAGACGAGGAGCUUGCUCCUCUGACGUUAGCGGCGGACGGGUGAGUAACACGUGGAUAACCUACCUAUAAGACUGGGAUAACUUCGGGAAACCGGAGCUAAUACCGGAUAAUAUAUUGAACCGCAUGGUUCAAUAGUGAAAGACGGUUUUGCUGUCACUUAUAGAUGGAUCCGCGCCGCAUUAGCUAGUUGGUAAGGUAACGGCUUACCAAGGCAACGAUGCGUAGCCGACCUGAGAGGGUGAACGCCCCCACAGAACAUAGACAACGGCCCAAACCCCUAGGGGGGGCACAGGAAGGAAAUCUCCGGAAAGGGGGGAAAGCCUGAGGGAGCAACGCCGCGGAGUGGAUGAAGGUUUUCGAAUGUAAAAACUCUUUUAUUGGGGAAGAAAAAAUUUGUAAGUAAUUUUGCCAGUUUUAACGGUACCAAACCAAAAACCCCCGCCUAACUCCGG
rnacentral:rRNA from 1 species